rnacentral:rRNA from 1 species
UACGUAGGGUGCAAGCGUUUGUCCGGAAUUAUUGGGCGUAAAGAGCUCGUAGGCGGUUUGUCGCGUCUGCCGUGAAAGUCCGGGGGCUCAACUCCGGAUCUGCGGUGGGUACGGGGCAGACUAGAGUGAUGUAGGGGGAGACUGGAAUUCCUGGUGUAGCGGUGAAAAUGCGCAGAUAUCAGGAGGAACACCGAUGGCGAAGGCAGGUCUCUGGGCAUUAACUGACGCUGAGGAGCGAAAGCAUGGGGAGCGAACAGG